GAGAUUGGCGUUCCCUCGGGGACAGGGUGACGAGGUGGUGGCAUGGUUGUCGUCAGCUCGUGUCGUGAGAUGUUGGGUUAAGUCCCGGCAACCGAGCGCAACCCUCGACCUCUAGUUGCCAGCAUUCGGUUGGGCACUCUAGAGGGACUGCCGGCGACAAGUACGGAGGAAGGUGGGGAUGACGUCAAAUCAUCAUGCCCCUUAUGACCUGGGCUACACACGUGCUACAAUGGGCGGUACAAAGGGCUGCGAACCCGCGAGGGGGAGCGAAUCCCAAAAAGCCGCUCUCAGUUCGGAUUGCAGGCUGCAACUCGCCUGCAUGAAGCCGGAAUCGCUAGUAAUCGCGGAUCAGCAUGCCGCGGUGAAUACGUUCCCGGGCCUU
rnacentral:rRNA from 1 species